UACGUAGGGUGCGAGCGUUAAUCGGAAUUACUGGGCGUAAAGCGUGCGUAGGCGGUCCGCGAAGUCUGAUGUGAAAGCCCCGGGCUCAACCUGGGAACUGCAUUGGAAACUAACGGGCUCGAGUGUGGCAGAGGGGGGUGGAAUUCACAGUGGAGCAGUGAAAUGCGUGGAUAUUGUGAGGAACACUAGUGGCGAAGGCGAGACUCUGGACAGUUCCUGACGCUGAGGCACGAAGGCCAGGGGAGCAAACGGG
rnacentral:rRNA from 1 species